rnacentral:rRNA from 1 species
GGAGUUAGCCGGUGCUUCUUCUGUGAGUGAUGUCCUUCCUGCCGGCUAUUAACCCGCAGGCCUUCUUCCUCACUGAAAGUGCUUUACAACCCGAAGGCCUUCUUCACACACGCGGCAUGGCUGGAUCAGGGUUGCCCCCAUUGUCCAAUAUUCCCCACUGCUGCCUCCCGUAGGAGUCUGGGCCGUGUCUCAGUCCCAGUGUGGCUGAUCAUCCUCUCAGACCAGCUACGGAUCGUCGCCUUGGUGAGCCGUUACCUCACCAACCAGCUAAUCCGACAUAGGCUCAUCCGAUAGCGCGAGGCCCGAAGGUCCCCCGCUUUCCCCCGUAGGGCGUAUGCGGUAUUAGCCUGGGUUUCCCCAGGUUAUCCCCCACUACCGGGCAGAUUCCUAUGCAUUACUCACCCGUCCGCCGCUCGCCACCAGGGAGCAAGCUCCCCGUGCUGCCGCUCGACUUGCAUGUGUAGCUCGCCGCCACGCGUCAUACUGAGCACGAUACAACUACUCGA